GGUCUUGAAAAUUAAAAAAUUUGGCGGUAUUUUAGUCUUUUCAGAGGAACCUGUCCUGUAAUUGAUAGUCCACGAUAUAGGAAACUUUAUUUAUUAGUUUACAUAUCGUCGUAUAAAGAAUAUUUUAUAAGAAUAUGAAUGUUCUGAAUUUUUAAUUAAAAAGUAAAUCAGAUCAAGGUGUAGUAUAUAAUAAAGGAGAGAUGGGUUACAUUAAAUUUAUUUAAGGAUUAUUUUUAGGAUAAAAAUAUGAAUAUGGAUUUGAAAGUAAUUUUAAUUAGUUAAUUAAGAUGAUUUAAGCUCUAAAAUAUGCACACAUCGCCCGUCGCUCUUAA
rnacentral:rRNA from 1 species